rnacentral:lncRNA from 1 species
CUGGACUUUCAUCGAUUCUAUUUUGAAAACCUGUGGUCCCGGAACAGCAAGCCCGUGCACACCACCAUCCUGAACCCUCACAUCCACCUGAUGGGUGACGAGUCAGCCUGCAUCGCCUACAUCCGCAUCACUCAGUACCUGGAUGCGGGUGGCAUCCCCCGCACGGCCCAGUCAGAGGAGACCCGUGUCUGGCACCGCAGGGAUGGAAAAUGGCAGAUCGUCCACUUCCACAGAUCUGGGGCGCCCUCCGUCCUGCCCCAUUGAAGGACCAGGCCAGGGUCCCUGCGCUCUUGCUUCGCAGAGAUCCAUUCUUUGUCCAUGGAAUGUGGCUGCUGGCUCUCCCUUGGAUGUUGCUGGAAUUCUCCCUGUCCUAUCACCCUACCGUUGCCAUCUCUGUAUUUGCAUCAUGGAAGCCUGCUUGUUCACAGAAGCCCUCAUGACGUCACAGCGAAUGGCCAGCUCUCUCCAGCUCCACUGCCCACGCUCUUCCUGCCAGUGGGGACCUUCUUCAGGCUUGAGUACCCAGGGUGCUGGCCCCAGGAACCCCCAUCCCCUACCCACUCUUGUUAGCCUGGCCUAGCUUUGGCCCUAAAUGAGGAGGCCCCAGCUGUGCAUUUGGCAGGAAGUAAGGCAAGGAGAGGAGGGCGAGCUGUGACCAGGGCCCCUCUUGUCAGUUCCUUCCCUUCUGGGGUCCCUGGGGAAGCGUAGAUGAGCCCCUCAGUCUCCAAGCCAACUCCUUAUAAGGGAGACUGAGAGAGGAGUCAACACCAGGAACUGCUACUCUCAUCUGCUCCCCUCUGGGCUGGCCUUGCGUUUGAUCAGACCAUCCACCAUGGGGGAAGAGAGGGAGUGGGCUCUACGGUCUGUCCAGGUACCCCACUCACUGCCUCAGUCCGUCUGUGAAGUUUGUCUCCAGUGUUGACCCACCCACCCUGCCCUUCAACGUCCUUGGAGAAUUCCAGCCUCAUCUGUCUAAGAGGAGAUCUGAUGGUGUUUCAGGGGCAAUAGCAAGCAACACUUAGGUAUCACUUCUACUUGGACGCAUGCCUUUUUACAGCCAAACCUCUGUGUAUUUCGUAAAUGGAUUUUGCGUUAACGGACAUUUAUGUGAUAACUAGACCUCUCAAGUUAUUGUAAAGAGUCGGAUGGGUUGGGAAGUGGGUGGGAAGAGGAGUGAGGGGAAGUUUUUACCCUGUUCCAGAGGGUUUUUUUUUGGGGGGGAGAGUCUUUUCUGGGGUGGCCUCAGCUCCCCCACCCCCCCACCAGGGAGCACGUCUUCCUUCCAUUCUGGUCCCCAAGGUCAGCUGACAAGAUCUCUUCCAGAGCCAGCAUGACUAACACACAGUGAGUCAGGGCAGGGGAGGCCAUCAGGAUGGGAACAUCCAGACUUGGUAUCUCUGGAACUGGAGAUCUCACUACCCUACUUCCUGGGAAAUCUUUCUCCAAAUCUUCGUGCUCUCCCUCCCCAUCCCGGUGCCGCUCACUACCAUCUGGGUACCUCAUUCCCAUUGCCUCUCUCAACUCGGCCAAGCAAGAGUACCAGAAACUAAUUUUCCUACUUCACGCUGAAUUUGGGCUGGUGUGCGCUCUUAAUUGCGCUUGCCUGAUUGCCCGGCCUCCCUCCCCCAGCCCCCCCUACCCCCUUCCUCUCUUUCCCCUCUCCCUUCCUUUCUCUUUCUCUUCCUCUCUCUCCAUCUUCCUGGGUUUGGUUCUUAUAUGGAAUGCUGUGUCUCAUCCACGGGGAUCCCUUGUCUGCACUGUUUUCUUUGCAUGACUUUAUAUGCAGUAAGUAUGUUGAGAAAAAAAAGAGCAAAGACAAAAAAGAAGAAAAACACUCAGCAAAAUCAAACGACACGUUUUGGACAAAAAAUAUAAUAAUAACAUUCAAGGUUAUAUUCUCAGUGUCCAACUUGGAAUUACGUUGCUGCCUCUCUGUGCUUUUGGUCUCUGUGUGGCUGUGUUUUGCCAGCAUGAGACCCUGUCCCCUCUGGAGGUUUCUAGGGGAGGAAGAGCCGUGUGUCGGGGGGGGGGGUUGGAGACAGCUUUGUCCUCUCAGCUUUUUGGGGGGGGUUGAUUGGAGCAGAAGUGGAAGGGGAUGUUUAAUCCAGAACUUUCUGGUAUUUCCCUUUCUCCCACGCAGUGAGCUAUACGCUGGGCUCUUCUCUCAAAUCCUGCUGCCCAGGGACAAGUAUAGGGUAGAAGGGUGGCCCUAUUGUCUAAGCCACUCCACUGUAGCCCUCUGCCUUUGGUAGAGACACUGCUACCCAGACCCAAGAAUGGGCCCUUGUCCCACCCCAGAUCUAGGCUUCUUCAUAAGGCUCAGCAAACUCAUUGUCCCCAGCCAUUCCCCCACUAAAGGUAAAAGAAGGUGUGGCCUUUACCAGGGGACACUGCGAUUAUCAAUCAAGCCCUCUUCAAGCCUCAGUUUCACCACCAGUGUUCCUACCCAGACUGAUGGAAGGUCAAACUAGAUGAUGUCACAAGUGCACACCAUCUUUGAGAACUUGCUGGGUUUGUCACUGGCUGGCCUUCUUAUGCACCAGGCCCGGCCAAUUCCCAUCUUUUCCCCUGUGUGCCCCCUCAUUUUCCUAUUUGGUGCCAGUCUGUUGAAGACCAGCAACAAAUGCAGGGGAAAGAAGUGUCUGGGGGCUUUGGUAGGCUUUGACCCCCCGUUCUGAUCAGAAGGGCUGUGUGGCUUUGGGUGAGUCCUGUGCCCUCCUGGGGCCUUAGUUUCCUCAGCCAGAAGAUGCCUAUGCCCUGCCUUCUGUUGGCUAACAUGCCCCUGUCCACUGUGUGCCUGUCCACAUGUGGAGAAGUGGAGGCAGGUCCCUGCCCCAGUCUGAGACGGCCCGCUCUGCAGAGGCCGCUCCUGUGGGUGGGCAGCCAACUCAUGUAGACCUUGGGACACUACAAUGGCCCCAAGGUAGCAGGCAGGGGAACUGGCAGAAAAACUGCCCUCCUCAGACAAGCUUCAUGCUCCUUCCAAAUACCCUCCAGAUGAAAAAAGAGAGAGAGAGAAACAGAGUCAAGUCACAUUUAUAGGAAAAGCAUCUCCAGGCAUAUGUGCCGUAGCUCAAAUCCUGCCCCAUGGCUUCCCCACCCCCUUCAAAGGGAGAGUCUUGGGGGAAUUUGUUUGCCAGGCCCCGUGCUGACUUCUUUGUUACUACUUGUUUAGGGUUUUGUUCUAGUUCUCUCUCUCUCUCUCUCUCUCUCUCUCUCUCUCUCUCUCUCUCUCUCUCUCUUUCUUUUUUAUUAUGUGGCUGUGAACUUGAAUGACCAUUGCUCAAACUUUCUGCUACUGGGGGGGUGGGUGGGGGAGGGGAGAAGAGACGUCUGUUUUAUUCUUGGUGUUUUCAGUGGAAUAAAUAGCUACAAAUUUAUGUG